UUGGAGGGCAAGUCUGGUGCCAGCAGCCGCGGUAAUUCCAGCUCCAAUAGCGUAUAUUAAAGUUGUUGCAGUUAAAAAGCUCGUAGUUGAAUUUCGGGGUCAGUAGGUUGGUCAUGCCACUGGUAUGUACUGGUCUCACUGAUUCCUCCUUCCUGAUGAGCCGUAAUGCCAUUAAUUUGGUGUUGCGGGGAAUUUGGACUGUUACUUUGAAAAAAUUAGAGUGUUUAAAGCAGGCUAACGCUUGAAUACAUUAGCAUGGAAUAAUGAAAUAGGACGUUCGAUCUUAUUUUGUUGGUUUCUAAGAUUGACGUAAUGAUUAAUAGGGAUAGUUGGGGGCAUUAGUAUUCAAUUGUCAGAGGUGAAAUUCUUGGAUUUAUUGAAGACUAACUACUGCGAAAGCAUUUGCCAAGGAUGUUUUCAUUAAUCAAGAACGAAAGUUAGGGGAUCGAAGACGAUCAGAUACCGUCGUAGUCUUAACCAUAAACUAUGCCGACUAGGGAUCGGAUGAUGUUAAUUUUUUAAUGACUCAUUCGGCGCCUUACGGGAAACCAAAGUGUUUGGGUUC
rnacentral:rRNA from 1 species